rnacentral:rRNA from 1 species
CCUACGGGAGGCAGCAGUGAGGAAUAUUGGUCAAUGGACGAGAGUCUGAACCAGCCAAGUAGCGUGAAGGAUGACUGCCCUAUGGGUUGUAAACUUCUUUUAUAUGGGAAUAAAACGUUCCACGUGUGGGAUUUUGUAUGUACCAUAUGAAUAAGGAUCGGCUAACUCCGUGCCAGCAGCCGCGGUAAUACGGAGGAUCCGAGCGUUAUCCGGAUUUAUUGGGUUUAAAGGGAGCGUAGGUGGAUUGUUAAGUCAGUUGUGAAAGUUUGCGGCUCAACCGUAAAAUUGCAGUUGAAACUGGCAGUCUUGAGUACAGUAGAGGUGGGCGGAAUUCGUGGUGUAGCGGUGAAAUGCUUAGAUAUCACGAAGAACUCCGAUUUCGAAGGCAGUUCACUGGACUGCAACUGACACUGAGGCUCGAAAGUGUGGGUAUCAAACAGGAUUAGAUACCCGAGUAGUC